rnacentral:rRNA from 1 species
GAGUUUGAACCUGGCUCAGGAUGAACGCUGGCGGCGUGCCUAAUACAUGCAAGUCGAGCGAACAGAUAAGGAGCUUGCUCCUUUGAAGUUAGCGGCGGACGGGUGAGUAACACGUGGGUAACCUACCUAUAAGACUGGGAUAACUUCGGGAAACCGGAGCUAAUACCGGAUAAUAUUUAGAACCGCAUGGUUCUAAAGUGAAAGAUGGUUUUGCUAUCACUUAUAGAUGGACCCGCGCCGUAUUAGCUAGUUGGUAAGGUAACGGCUUACCAAGGCGACGAUACGUAGCCGACCUGAGAGGGUGAUCGGCCACACUGGAACUGAGACACGGUCCAGACUCCUACGGGAGGCAGCAGUAGGGAAUCUUCCGCAAUGGGCGAAAGCCUGACGGAGCAACGCCGCGUGAGUGAUGAAGGGUUUCGGCUCGUAAAACUCUGUUAUUAGGGAAGAACAAAUGUGUAAGUAACUGUGCA